rnacentral:rRNA from 1 species
UGGGGAAUUUUGGACAAUGGGCGAAAGCCUGAUCCAGCCAUGCCGCGUGAGUGAAGAAGGCCUUCGGGUUGUAAAGCUCUUUUAGUCGGAAAGAAAAGAUCAUAAUGAACAAUUAUGAUUCAUGACGGUACCGACAGAAAAAGCACCGGCUAACUACGUGCCAGCAGCCGCGGUAAUACGUAGGGUGCGAGCGUUAAUCGGAAUUACUGGGCGUAUAGGGUGCGCAGGCGGUUUUGUAAGUCAGAUGUGAAAUCCCCGGGCUUAACCUGGGAAUUGCGUUUGAAACUGCAAGACUAGAGUGCAGCAGAGGGGAGUGGAAUUCCAUGUGUAGCAGUGGAAUGCGUAGAGAUGUGGAAGAACACCGAUGGCGAAGGCAGCUCCCUGGGUUGACACUGACGCUCAUGCACGAAAGCGUGGGGAGCAAACA